rnacentral:rRNA from 1 species
AUGCAAGUCGAGGGGCAGCGCGGGAUAGCAAUAUCCUGGCGGCGACCGGCGGAAGGGUGCGUAACGCGUGAGCGACAUGCCCUUCACAGGGGGAUAACCGGGAGAAAUUCCGACUAAUACCGCAUACGUCCUCCGGGGGCAUCCCCGGGGGAUGAAAGAAUUAUCGGUGAAGGAUGGGUAUGCGUGAUAUUAGGUAGUUGGCGGGGCAACGGCCCACCAAGCCCACGAUAUCUAGGGGUUCUGAGAGGAAGGUCCCCACAUUGGUACUGAGACACGGACCAAACUCC